GGAUAUAAGGGUGAUCUGGUUGGGACAUUUGUCACCCCAUUGAUGGCCAGGGUUGAUUCAGCUGAUCUGGCUAGCUAGGCAGGUGUCCCCUUCCUCCCUCACCACUCCAUGUGCCCCUCCCAAAGCCCAAACCAGCUCUCAAUGGUUAAUUUACCCAACUCGAGACAGUAUUUUCUACUUGCUUUCUAUGCCACUACUUUCUGACAAACAAGCCCAAAACAGGCUCACAAGAUGAGAAUCCAACAACUGCUUUU
rnacentral:sRNA from 1 species